GCCCUCUUGGCUUAGUGGUAAAGCGUAUCACUAGUAUCCAACUGCAGUCCUCAAAACCGCAGACCUGGUCGCAAAUGAUAAGAUCGCUAGUUCGAUUCUGGCAGAGGGCA
rnacentral:tRNA from 1 species